AGUUAAAAAGCUCGUAGUCGGAUUUCAGUAUUAGGCCCUUCUUCCAAUACGGUUGCUAGUGGUCUUUACUUCCUUAACAGAAUCUUUCAUCUCAUUAAUUUGGGGUGUUUGGGGCCUGUUUCUUUUACUUUGAGAAAAUUAGAGUGUUCAAAGCGGGUUUUCGCCUGGAUAUUACUCUUGGAAUAAUAAUAUAGGACUUUGGUUCUUUUUUGUUGGUGACUUAGAGCCGAAGUAAUGAUUGAUAGGGACAGUUGGGGUCAUUCGUACUAUGAAGCGAGAGGUGAAAUUCAUGGACCUUUGUAUGACGAACUACUGCGAAAGCAUUUGACUAGGAUGUUCCCGUUGAUCAAGAACGAAAGUUGGGGGAUCGAAGACGAUCAGAUACCGUCGUAGUCUCAACCAUAAACUAUGCCAGCUAGGGAUUGGAGGAAGAUCAUUUUACGUCUCCUUCAGCACCUUAUGAGAAAUCAAAGCAUUUGGGUUCCGGGGGGAGUAUGGUCGCAAGGCUGAAACUUAAAGGAAUUGACGGGAGGGCACCACCAGGAGUGGAGCCUGCGGCU
rnacentral:rRNA from 1 species